rnacentral:rRNA from 1 species
AUUCGCGGCCUAUCAGCUUGUUGGUGAGGUAACGGCUCACCAAGGCGACGACGGGUAGCCGGCCUGAGAGGAUGUCCGGCCACACUGGGACUGAGACACGGCCCAGACUCCUACGGGAGGCAGCAGUGGGGAAUAUUGCACAAUGGACGAAAGCCUGAUGCAGCAACGCCGCGUGAGGGAUGACGGCCUUCGGGUUGUAAACCUCUUUUAGUAGGGAAGAAGCGAAAGUGACGGGACCUGCAAAAAAAGCACCGGCUAACUACGUGCCACCAGCCGCGGUAAUACGUAGGGUGCAAGCGUUGUCCGGAAUUAUUGGGCGUAAAGAGCUCGGAGGCGGUUUGUCGCGUCUGCUGUGAAAUCCCGAGGCUCAACCUCGGGCUUGCAGUGGGUACGGGCAGACUAUAGUGCGGUAAGGGAGAUUGGAAUUCCUGGUGUAGCGGUGGAAUGCACAUAUAUCAGGAGGAACACCGAUGGCGAAGGCAUAUCUCUGGACCGUAACUGACGCUGAGGAGCGAAAGCGUGGGGAGCGAACAGGAUUACAUACCCUGGUAGUCCACGCCGUAAACGUUGGGCACUAUAUGUAUGGACCUUUCCACGGUUUCUGUGUCGUAACUAACGCAUUAAGCGCCCCGCCUGGGGAGUACGGAAUCUCUAA